CCCCUAGACGUUCUGGGCUGCACGCGCGCUACAAUAAUACGCACAGCGAGUAUCACCGAGCUCGAAAGGGCAAGGUAAACAAUAGAAAAGGUACUGUAAUGGUUAUAGAUCCUUGUAAUUAUUGAUCUUCAAUGAGGAAUUCCUAGUAAGUAUGUGUCAUCAUCACGCACUGAUUACGUCCCUGCCCUUUGUACACACCGCCCGUCGCUCCUACCGAUUGGGUGAGCCGAUGAAACUCUCGGAUGUAGGCUAUUCAUAGCCCGCAGAAGAGAUUUGAAUCGUAGCGCUUAGAGGAAGGAGAAGUCGUAACA
rnacentral:rRNA from 1 species